UACAGAGGAUGCAAGCGUUAUCCGGAAUGAUUGGGCGUAAAGCGUCUGUAGGUGGCUUUUUAAGUCCGCCGUCAAAUCCCAGGGCUCAACUCUGGACAGGCGGUGGAAACUACCAAGCUGGAGUACGGUAGGGGCAGAGGGAAUUUCCGGUGCAGCGGUGAAAUGCUUAGAUAUCGUCCAGAACACCGAUAGCGAAGGCAGCUUACUAAGGAGUAACUGACGCUGAGGCACGAAAGUGUGGGGAUCAAACAGG
rnacentral:rRNA from 1 species